UACAGAGGUCUCAAGCGUUGUUCGGAUUCAUUGGGCGUAAAGAGCUCGUAGGCGGCUUGUCGCGUCAACUGUGAAAACCCGUGGCUCAACCAUGUGGUCUGCAGUCGAUACGGGCAGGCUAGAAUUCGGUAGGGGAGACUGGAAUUCCUGGUGUAGCGGUGAAAUGCGCAGAUAUCAGGAGGAACACCGGUGGCGAAGGCGGGUCUCUGGGCCGAUACUGACGCUGAGGAGCGAAAGCGUGGGGAGCGAACAGG
rnacentral:rRNA from 1 species